rnacentral:rRNA from 1 species
UACAGAGACUGCAAGCGUUAUUCGGAUUCACUGGGCGUAAAGGGUGCGCAGGCGGCCAAGUGUGUUAGGCGUGAAAGCCCGGGGCUUAACCCCGGAAUUGCACCUAAAACUACAUGGCUAGAGCAUUGGAGAGGGUAGCGGAAUUCACGGUGUAGCAGUGAAAUGCGUAGAUAUUGGGAGGAACACCAGUGGCGAAGGCGGCUCACUGGACCGGAACUGACGCUGAGGCGCGAAAGCGUGGGGAGCAAACAGG